rnacentral:sRNA from 1 species
UUUCUUUUGGUUCUCCGACGAAAAUUAGGUGAUUCCAAUCGAUCCCUUUCGAUUACAAACUUCGGCGUAUCGACCAUGAAAUCGGGAGACAAGAGCCACAUGUACUCAAUUUUCAACCGCUAUGUACUCAAUUUUCAACCGCCGGGAUGAUGAUCGACGACGAGGUUGUUCACUAAAUUGAUUCUUCGAACCAAAUCGAAAGGAGUGGCAAAAAGCUUCAGAAAAGAGUAGGGUGGAGGCUGCUUGGAUUAAAGAGAAGUAUCCAGAUAGAAUUCCGGAUGAUGUCCCUGUCGAGAUGCAAGAGUUCAAGGAAGCAUAAAUAGCAAGCACAUGCAAGUGUUGUUCUGUUCUGUGUAUAAGUGUAUAGGCUAUGGUCGUGUGAAGAUGCACUUGAGUUUGUGUGUCGAAUUUUGUGAGUGUAUCAAGUUUUGAGAGCGUAGAGUCUGUGUCAAGUUUUGAGAGUCAA